UCAAAAAUAAGAUGAGCAGAUUGAUGGUGGAGUGCUUGCCUAACGUGUGCUGGGUUCAACUGUCAGUACCACUAACAACAACAAUAAACCUAACAGCAACUUAUGGAACUCCUGAAACACGGACUCUGGAAAAUUUUCAUUUAGAUGAGACUCAUGCUCAGAACUACAGGGAAGAAGCUACAGCACUGGAAGAACUGGAAUGAGACAUUGUUGGGAGAGAUCAUGGGGAAAUUAGAUUGGGGUGUAGACUUCAAUAGAGUGAAACAAUUAAGAUGCA